rnacentral:lncRNA from 1 species
CCGGUAACGACGGUCGGUAUGGAGCAGUUUCACCUACUGGUUCAGUAGGUCAGAGGCCUGACUGAAGCAGUGCAGGCCAUGCAGCAGCAGCAGCAACAGCCGCAGGUGUCAGUGCGGUUGGAAAGAGUGUAGUCGGAGCUUCAAGAUCCGACAGUAGGGUAGGCCACUUAGGCUAGUCAUCCUGUCUUCCCCGGCAAGGAGAAUCCGAGGGUGGAGAGCCCCCAGUCUGAUCAUGAUUUCACUCCCGGAGGAUCCCUACCUCCACUCUACCAAAAGACCCUCGAGACUC